CGCCAGUGCUGAAACCAGUUCUGGAGACGACCUGAAGCAAAUGUAAGCUGGCUAAAAACAGUGAGAAAAAGCGACACGAUUCAUGGCCACUGUGGAAGGCCAGGCAGGUCUGGUCAUCUCUACAGUCUGGAAACUAGAACUAGAAUUUCUUUUCGCUGCUGCAUCUCCCAAGUGCUGUCCCCAUAGCUGUCCACAGUCAUUGCAGGUAUCCCAGGACCCACAGAGCAACACCAACAGAUGCUAGGCAUGCAGAAGGAGACUCUUAGUCCCAAAAGGGAGCUUCCUGCUAGAGCUCAGCCUUGGCAGCAGGAAAUGAAGCUCAGAGAGUGAAGUCCAGUAAGCCUGAGGUAUGACCAGGAAAGUAGUAAAGUGUUCUCUUGGGGCCUCACGGUGUAGGCCGUGUCCUGGAGCCUGGAAAUGCCUAAUACAGGAGGUAUCUCUGGAGCCAUUCACAGGCAGCAGUCAUGAGCCUUAUCUUGGAUGGUGUCCACCAGCCAUUUCACAUCUUGGGUGCAGCCUUAAGUGUCCCUAUCUCCCUAGCUACCACUAUGGAUGGCAUCAUCGCUAAGGAACAACAGAAAGGUACAAGACAGAGGGGAACGAAAUGCAGAGUUACGGAACCCAGACCCAACAGAUAUACCUACAAAAACACUCCCACACCUGAGGCUCAGGAACAUUUUGGAAGAGAAGAAAAGAUUCUAAGAACCAGAAGAUCAGGGUGUUUGCUGUGUGAAUGUGUCUCCUAGUAAUGUCAGAAGCCAUCAAUGUGACUACCCAAAUAGGAACCAAACAGGGACAACUCUGAUGGACAGUCACAGUGGACAGGGAAAGGCCCAUGAAGCCUCUACUCUAUACAAAGAACUACUUGGAAACUAAGACAUGCUGAGAGUGGGAGAAAAAGUCUUUCCCAGGAAAGAGCUCACCAGUUGGUUAUUCAGUACUAAGUGGUCUGCCCUGAAGACAUGAAUAGAAACCCUGACUAAGACAGUGCUUCAACUGCUCAGUCCUUUGCUCAUAGCAAAUCAGCAUUUCAAGCUUUGCAAACUAAGAACGAACAGUUCCCCAGGAACUUUCUGGGCUUCCAGCGCCAGAACGGGACUCCUGAGGCAGCCCACUCUGUAGCCGCUUCCUGACCCGGCAGGACUGACUGCUUGAGGCCCAGCCUCAAGGACAAGUAUCGGAUUCUGAGCAUCUGAGGUGUUAUGUGGAUAAGAUUGUUCUAAAGCUCACUUAAUAAAUGUAUAUGUUAUAUAAAUAUACAGCAUAUAAUAUCAAUUAUAUGUGUGUGCGUGUAUACAUA